rnacentral:misc_RNA from 1 species
AACCUUAUGGACCUGCGGGCGUAUACCUGCGGAGGGAUCAUUACCGAGUUUACAACUCCCAAACCCCUGUGAACAUACCAAUUGUUGCCUCGGCGGAUCAGCCCGCUCCCGGUAAAACGGGACGGCCCGCCAGAGGACCCCUAAACUCUGUUUCUAUAUGUAACUUCUGAGUAAAACCAUAAAUAAAUCAAAACUUUUAACAACGGAUCU